GGUCUGAUGGUCUAGAGGUAUGAUUCUCUCUUAGGGUGGGAGAGGUCCCGGGUUCAAUCCCCGGUCAGACCC
rnacentral:tRNA from 3 species